UACGUAGGGGGCAAGCGUUGUCCGGAUUUAUUGGGCGUAAAGAGCGUGUAGGCGGCCACACAGGUCUGCUGUGAAAACUCGAGGCUCAACCUCGAGCUGUCGGUGGAAACCGUGUGGCUAGAGUCCGGAAGAGGAGAGUGGAAUUCCCGGUGUAGCAGUGAAAUGCGUAGAGAUCGGGAGGAACAUCAGUUGCGAAGGCGGCUCUCUGGACCAGCACUGACACUGAGGCACGAAAGCGUGGGGAGCAAACAGG
rnacentral:rRNA from 1 species